GGGUUGGAAAGUUCUCCAUGAUGGUGGAGGGUGAACAAUUUCACAGGAGGAGGGAGGAUGCAAGGAAACGCAAGUUGCCAGAGUAUAACUUUGCCGUUGCUGUGAGGCUGCUGUGCUGGAGGCCGAUGGAGACCUUCCAGAGCCUGAGCUGCUGAGAGGAAACACCGACUGUUGGUGCCUUUGCUCAAAUUGGCCUCCAAUGCCAACAGAAACAGAAUCAUUCUGCAGCAAUAAAUUUCAGUGUGAUGGAUGCUGGAGACCUUCAGGAUCCCGCAGAUAGACUGAAGAAGAUGACCAAGACCAGCAGGAUGGAGAGGGCAGGUCACCACUGAGUACUUUUUCACCUACCCUUUUG